rnacentral:rRNA from 1 species
GCCUUCGGGCAAGUAAAGCGGCGAACGGGUGAGUAACACGUAACCAACCUACCCCCGAGAUUGGGAUAACCAUUGGAAACGAUGGCUAAUACCGAAUGGUCCCAGGAGCCGGCAUCGGCACCUGGGUAAACGGCUUCGGCUGUUCGGGGAGGGGGUUGCGGCCUAUCAGCUUGUUGGUGGGGUAACGGCCUACCAAGGCGAUGACGGGUAGCGGGUCUGAGAGGAUGAUCCGUCACACUGGGACUGAGACACUGCCCAGACUCCUACGGGAGGCUGCAGUCGAGGAUCUUCCGCAAUGGGCGAAAGCCUGACGGAGCGACGCCGCGUGCAGGAUGAAGGCCUUCGGGUCGUAAACUGCUGUCACGCUAUAGGAAAAGCCUUCGGGCCGUGACCAAAGCGAGAGGAAGCACCGGCUAACUCCGUGCCAGCAGCCGCGGUAUGACGGAGGGUGCAAACGUUGCUCGGAAUCACUGGGCAUAAAGCGCACGUAGGCGGCUUGCUAAGUUGGGUGUGAAAGCCCUCGGCUCAACCGAGGAACUGCAUCCAAUACUGGCUAGCUCGAGGACGGUAGGGGUGAGUGGAACUCCAGGUGGAGCGGUGAAAUGCGUAGAUAUCUGGAGGAACACCGGUGGCGAAAGCGGCUCACUGGACCGUCUCUGACGCUGAGGUGCGAAAGCCAGGGUAGCGAACGGGAUUAGAUACCCCGGUAGUCCUGGCCGUAAACGAUGGGCACUAGGUGGGGGGUAAGCCUAUGUUACUCCCUGCCGUAGCAAAUGUAUUAAGUGCCCCGCCUGGGGAGUACGCUCGCAAGGGUAAAACUCAAAGGAAUUGACGGGGGCUCACACAAGCGGUGGAGCAUGUGGUUUAAUUCGAAACAACGCGAAGAACCUUACCUAGCCUUGACAUGCACGGAUUAGCCCCUGGAAACAUGGGUGACAGCUCUUCGGAGCCGGAACGUGCACAGGUGUUGCAUGGCUGUCGUCAGCUCGUGCCGUGAGGUGUUGGGUUAAGUCCCGUAACGAGCGCAACCCUUAUCGUUAGUUGCCAGCGGGUAAUGCCGGGGACUCUAGCGAGACUGCCGUUGUCAAAACGGAGGAAGGUGGGGACGACGUCAAGUCAUCAUGGCCCUUAUGGCUAGGGCUACACACGUGCUACAAUGGACGGUACAAAGGGUCCCGAGGCCGCAAGGUGGAGGAAAUCCCAUCAAAGCCGUCCUCAGUUCGGAUUGCAGGCUGCAAUUCGCCUGCAUGAAGCCGGAAUCGCUAGUAAUCGCGUAUCAGCUACGACGCGGUGAAUAUGUUCCUGAGCCUUGUACACACUGCCCGUCAAGCCACGAAAGCGGGGAGCGCUUGAAGUCGCUUUGUCUAACCUUCGGGAAGACGGCGCCGAAAGCGAGCUCCGUGAUUGGGACUAAGUCGAAACAAGGUA